UGUGCCAGAGCCUUGGGAUGAACGCCUUGGAUAGUUUUGCCGUGUUGUACUGUUUGGCAGUCAGACAGAAGGUAGCGCAGAGGCCAUAACAAGUGACAGGGCAGACAUCCCUAUCAGCUUCUUCACGCGUGCGCUAUGCUGACGUCGAGCAAUAGAAAGCCAGCACCACUAGAAUUUGUUUAAGUAGUUGGUACUGCCAAAGCUCAAUAAAGUUGAAGUUGCAAAAGA